rnacentral:rRNA from 1 species
CCUACGGGAGGCAGCAGUUGGGAAUAUUGGGCAAUGGGCGCAAGCCUUACCCAGCAAUACCGCGUGAGUGAAGAAGGUCUUCGGAUUGUAAAGCUCUUUGAUCAGGGACCAACAGAUGACGGUACCUGAAGAACAAGCCCCGGCUAACUCCGUGCCAGCAGCCGCGGUAAAACGUAGGGGGCGAGCGUUGUCCGGAAUGACUGGGGGGAAAGGGUGAGUAGGCGGCAUAAUAAGUUAGAAGUGAAAUACCCAGGGCUUAACUCGGGUGCUGCUUCUAAGACUGGUGAGUUUGAGUGCGGUAGAGGGUAAUGGAAUUCCUAGUGGAGCGGUGGAAUGCGUAGAGAUUAGGAGGAACACCAGAGGCGAAGGCGAUUAACUGGACCGUGACUGACGCUGAGGCACGAAAGUGUGGGUAGCAAACAGGAUUAGAUACCCUAGUAGUC